rnacentral:lncRNA from 1 species
GCCAGCAGCCUGUGUUGCCAUGCCUGGCAUGUAACGAAGUUAUAGCUGGACUAGGCUGGAUGAGCUUAGGUACCAAGCCAAAGAAGACCCUAAGGCAGGACCUGUUCACCAUCAGUGUGUGGUGAUAUUUCUAUUCCAAAGGUUUCACCCAUUCUCUCCUUUGUGCAGUAGGCAUCUGAGUAACUGUGGUGAGCACUGGGCUAGAGGUAGGCGCACAUCUUGUAAGAUGAAGGUAAUUAGGAAAAUGUGGGAGAGACAUUUAAAAUUUAUAAACAAACAAACAAAUCCUUGAAAUUGCAGAAAUAAGAGCAUAGCCUCCCAAAAAUGUGCCAGAAGUUGUACAAAAGGGUGGUAAGGUGAUUACUUUUGGCAACAAUGUACUGCAUCUGGAAGGGAGUCUUUUUUUUUUUUUUUCGGUAGAGCAGAGGACCGAACCCAGGGCCUUGCACUUGCUAGGCAAGCUCUCUACCACUGAGCUAAAUCCAGAACCCCUGGAAAGGAGUCUUAAUGAGAGAUUCCCUAGCCCAGUGUGGUGGUUUGGAUGGGAAUGUCCCCCAUAGGCUCAGACGCUGUUCAGGAGGUUCUGGAGACGUGGUUUUGUGUGUCCUGGAGUAGGCUUUGAGAGUAUAACUUACUCAUGUCAUUUCCAGGCCAUUCUCUCUGCUUACUGCUUGCUGUUUGAGAUGUGCGUCUUCACACAUUCCUACCGACGUAUCUGACCGAUGCUGCCAAGAUUACCUGAUGGGAUGGAUGCUAAUGCCUCUACAACCAGAAGCCCAAGUAAACUCUUCUAUAAGUUGAAUUAAUUAUGCUUUUUUUUAAAAAAAAAUCUUUAUUUUAUGUGCAUUGAUGUUUCGACUACAUGUAUGCCUGUGGGAGAGUGUCAGAGUCCUUAGGAUUGUGGCUACCAAUAGUUGUGAACCACCAUGUGGGUGCUGGGAAUUGAACCCGGGUCCUUUAGAAGAGCAGCCAGUGCUCUUAACCACUGGACCACUCCUCUAUAUCCCCAUCAUGGUGCUUUAAUUACAGCAAAGGAAAAAUAACAAACAUAACCAGGUUAGUCAGCGGGCACACUGAUGACAGAUCUUCCUAAGGGCAAUCAUUAGUGGGAGGGCCUACCCUGGAUGGGACAGCACUCUUCUGUGGGUUUGGGUCUUGGACAGGGUAAACGUAGAGAGGGAGUUGAGCACAAGCAAGCAAGCAUGGUCCAUUCUUUCUCUGCUCUUGGCUGUGGAUGUAAUGUGUCUAGCCACUUCAAGUUUCUGCCUUGCAUCCCGUGCAAUGAUAAACUAUAAUCUGGAGUUGUGAGCUAAAACAAAACAAAACCCAUUUUCUCUCCGUAUGUUGCUUUUUGGUCAAAGUAUUUUAUCCCAGUAACAGAAAAGACAUGAGGACCGGCAAGAAGAGGACAUACCAUAGAGUCAGGAGCAGGAUGUAGUACCAAGUUGUAGAGGCCAGGGAGGAAUAUAGGCACAGAGCAGCCGCAGUCAGAAUGUGCAGGGAGAAGGGUGAGAGAGGAUGUAUCUAGGAGGUGAGCUGGCUCAAACAAUAACAGCCUGGUCUUGCUAUCUGAAGUUUACCUUCAGGCAGAGGGAGCCACUAACUGUCCUAGUAUGAAGGAAGGACACUGGGUGAUUUUUGCACUUGUGUGUGCGUGCGUGCAUGCAUGUCCCUCCCCUAGAGACUGAGCUUUGCACAUAUAUCACACGGCUUCAGUCCCAGUCCCAUGUUUUGGUUUCAAUCAAGUUUUAUACAAAUGUUUAAUGGGAAAAAUUAUGAGUUUAUUCUUUUAUUUCUCAUUAAUAAUAUUUUUGGGUUUUUAUUUGGUAAAUUCUAAAACAAGAUGAUUAUUUCAAAAGAGAAAUCCGCUUCACCCUGACUCUGACUUUUCCACCAGACGUAAUCAGAAUCCUAGAGGAAGUCAUAAGUUAAAGUUAGGACUCUGUUCAUAGUCGGUUCUGUUUCUAUAACAUCCAACAUACAGUGUCCAGCCCAAGUACAAAACAUUUUAGGGGGUUGGGGAUUUAGCUCAGUGGUAGAGCGCUUGCCUAACAAGCGCAAGGCCCUGGGUUCGGUCACCAGCUCUGAAAAAAAGAAAAGAAAAAAAAAUUUUAGAAUUAAUGGAGUACCCAAGUUGUGUCCCUUCUGCAUAGCAUUAUAUGGAAAUUAAUAUACACAAGAGAAAAAAAAACCUGAUAGAUGUAAUCAAGUUCAGACAUUUUGGUUCUGAUAUCUUAUUUUUAACUUAUUUUAAUUGGCAUGUAAUACUUGCUUGUAUUUAUAGGGUAGCGUGUGAUUAUUCAAUCCAUACAUGCAACGUGCAUAUAUCAAGUCAGCAAGAUUGGCCUUUCUGUCUUAUUGGACAUCUGUCAUGCUUCUGUGUCUGGAGCCUGCAAAGGCCUCUCUUCUAGCUCUUUGUAAAUGUGGAGUAAGUUGUGAAAACCAUAUUCACCAUGUUAUGUUAUCGUUGCUUUCUAACUGGUGUCCAUUAUUCAGUCUCCCUCUGUCCCACAUCUCCUACCUCCAAAGCCUCUUUCUACGACAUGCUAUUAUGUUAUGUUUUCAGGAAGUGAUUAUACGGAGGAGAAUGGGUGCACAGUAGUACUAGGGCCAGUGUGGAGGAUAUUGCAGUACCUAGAAAAGGAAAUGAUGUCGAUCCAAGCUUGCCAAGGGCAGCAGGGAUGCAGAGACGAGGGUCUGAGAGGCACAAAGCCGGUGCUCCAGGUAGGGCCAGAGAUGUUCUGAUGCUCCAGGCUUUGGUGGGCAGGGGUGGGGGGUAAAGGGCAAGGAAGGAAGACCUGUUGGGCAGAGCCGAGGGCAGAAACCCUUCCAUUCCCCUGAGGACCUCCUGGAUGUCACUGGAGCUGGGGACUUUGCUGUGCAAUGCAAAGGAGGUUUCAUGAUGAAGUCAGACCCUGGCAGCUAGAGGGGAUGGGGCUCUUAACACCUGCCAGACUGUUAAGACCGAAUCCGUGUGGAACCUAGGCUGCAAAUGAGAGGUCUUCAGUACCUGCAGCCAAGCAGGGCCUGACAAGCUGUUUCCAUGGAGACACAGAGCUGUGUGCAGGCGUAGGCGGGUUGAUCCAUUCCAGAGCCUUGGGUCACAAGGCUGUAGCGAGCUAACAGGAAGAAGGUAUUAUCGAUCAGGAAAGGAUGUACAAAGCAUUGGCAGCUAAUUGAGGUUGUGUUGUCAUAAUUCUGGAUUAAGUUUAACAAAUCAGGGUCCUGUUGGCCCCCACUUAGCAAGAGCACAAGGAAGCAGACACUAAUUCAGGCUAACUCUGAAUGUGCAGACACCCAGCCCAAGCCACUCUGUACCCUUGAGCUCUUAAGUAGCUACAUAUCUCUUCCAACUGUCGGAGACACAGACAGCAACCGGGGAGCUAAUCUUUUUUUCAUUUGUCAUAGGAAUGGCAGAAAUAUUCAGGAAACCUAAGCCCGACUCUUGAAAAAAAAAUUCAGAUGCUGGCAGAGCCCCAAAAUGGAUAUUGGGAAGCAUUUUGAGAACUACUGUUCACAGAGAGCACAGAGAGAAGCUUCCAGCACUUUGGAGGCAGAGGUCAGGUGAUUAGCGAUUCAUUUCUCGCUGCAGCCACAUGAGACUCUAUCUCAAGGCAAACACUAGCAAAGAGGAAGCACCCACAUUUGUGGUGUGUGUGUGUGCGUGUGUGUGAGUAUGUGUUAAAAGAGACAUAACAUGAAGUUUAUCUUUGGAUAUUUUUUGGUUUUUGGUUUGUUUGUUUCUUAAGACAGGGUUUCUCUGUGUAACAGCCCCAACUGUCCGGCAUCACUCUGUAGAUCAGGCUGGCCUCAAAAAAAAAAAAAAAAAGAGACCUGCCUUCGUUUGCUUCCAAAGUGCAGGGAUUUAAGGUGUGUAUCAUCAAUGGACAUUUUUAAGUGUAUAAUUUAGUGGCAUAAAGUACACACAUGAUCUUGGACUGGGGGUGUAGGUAAUUGGUAGAGCUCAUGCUUAGAAUACACCAGCAGUGGGGUCCAGGUAGCCCAGUGUUUCAAAAGUAUGCUUACAACUUUGUGCAUCCCUCACUACUGUCUACAUUUUAUUUUGGUUAAGUAACAACUCCCCAUUGGAUUAUACAUCAGUUCAUUUUAUGUUCUUAUAACAAAAUACCGGAGGCAGGACACUCUGUGUUAUUUAGCUCAGGGGUCUAGUCAUUCAAAAGCAUGAUGCUGGCAUUUCCUUGUGUUGGACCUCAUGGUAGAUGGCCUCACAGUGGCGGAUGUGCAUGUAGAGGAGGUCACAUGGCAAGAUGGGAUUCAGUAAAGCAGCAUCAACCUGCUUAUAUGGGAAAAGUCCCCACACUCUGGUUAUUUGUCACUAGGCCCUACCACCUUAUCACUGCCACACUGGGGACCAAGCCUCCAGUACAUGAAUGAUCGUAUGGGGGACAACAGACUAUAUAACAUGCCCUAAAGAUGUUGAACAGUGUGGUCAUGCUACAGAGUGCUCAUCUGCUAGCAGAAUGAUGGUUAGCGCGACGGUUAAUCUUAACCGUCAGCUUGGGAUUUAGAAUCAGGAUGGCUUGCCUGUGAGAGUUAUCUAGCUCAGCUUUAUUGAGAGGGGAGAAUUCACCCUCAAGGCAGAUGAUACCACCUCAUGGGCUGGGGUCAUCUGAGACUGAACACAGACAUCCUUCUGUCUCUGCGUUCUGACUGUGGAUGCUGUGUGACCCCCACCUCAAGCAACUGCUGCUGUCCCUUCCUGUCAUUGUAGACUGUGUCCUUUAGAACUGUAAGCCCUUCCUUCCUUAAGUUGCCUUUGUCAACAUUUUGUCACAGUAGUGAGGCAACUAAUACAGUCAGGCCACUGCGGGUGAGAAAACCAGAUUAAGGCUGUUUUGGUCAGUUGCUAUUAAUUCGGACAUGGAGGUAACAAGUGUUGGUAUAAAGGUCCCUGUAUAGUGGGGUGAACUUGAUAAAGCUGAUCUCUGGGAGGAGAUUGAUUUUAACUCGUUAAACUGAUGAAAUGGACUCCUUUUCAUCUGCAAGGUAUUUGAAUGGCUGUGAGCAAAGCUAAGAAGUCGGUAUAAAUCAUGUCAGGGCCACACGGUCUUUACAGAAAUCUUGUUAAAGGAAAACUUAGUUCCAGAAUUCGUGGGACAUAAUCGUGGGAGGAACUAACUAGGAACCAGUUUUAGUUUAAGUGACAAAAAAUGUUAGUGCUUGAGAGAGAUGACACAUUAUUUUUAUAUUUUAAAUUUAUUCUUCGAGAAUUUCAUACAUAUAUACAAUGUGUUUUGAUCCUAUCCAUCCCAGAACCCCCCUCCAAAUAUCCUCAGGGCUUCCCAACAGCUCCUCCUGCUAACUAAACAUCCUCUUCUUGCUUUCUUAAUGACCCACUGAGUCGAGUUACUGUUGCUGUUACAUGUCUACAUAUGAAGACCAGAACAGAGCAGACUGUGUAUCUGUCUUAUCUUAUAGAAAAAUUGACAGUUGCACUAAAUAAUCUAUGUUUAUCAGUUCAACGUGGGUAUUUCAUAAUGUGUACAUAUUACAAAGAUUAUAUUCUACAUAAUAAAUAUUUGUAGUUAUUGCUAUUAAAUGUAUUUUACCUUACAUUUUUGAUAAUCUCAUAAACAAGUGCUGAAUCUAUAUAAUUUCCACCCCUUUCUCUCACCUCCAAUGCCUCCUAUGCCUUCCACUCUCUCUCAAAUUCAUGACCUAUUCUUAUUUAUUAUGUAUAUGUAACUAUAUAUUAUAUAUGUGCAGUAUACAGAUUUAUAAGACUUCCUGAGCCCAAGUAGUGUUGUUCAUAUAUACAUGUGUUUUAGACUGACUACUUGGAAUGGAUAGCCUAUCAGGUGAUGAGACAUUAUUUAAAUGUAGAACAAUAGAUACUAAUAGACAAUCAAAAUUUCCUAACUUUUCACAAAAUUAAAACCUCAUGGGUCUGUGGCUUUGCUUAUUUAUCCAACAACAAGAUCAAUGUGUUUAAUGAGUGUUUAUGUACUAUUCCUGCUGCUGUGGUAAAAUACCCUGACAAAAGCAACUUAAGGGACAAAGGCUUAUUUUGGCUCACCAUUCAGGUGUACAGUCCAUCAUGGUGGGCAAGUCAAUGUCAGGAGCUUGACACAGUUGGUUCUAUCCUAUUAUCAAUUAGAACCAGACAUUCAUGAAUGCCUGUACUCAGUUUCAUUUCCUUAUUUCCUUCAUUCCAGAGCCCAGCCUAGGGAAUAGUACUACCCACGGUGGUCGGGUCUUCUCACCUCAAUUGAUCUAAUCAACAGUGCCUCCCACAGCAUGCCCAGAAGUCCAUCUUCUAGGUGAUUCUCAAUCUCUGCAAGCUGACACAAUCAUGUGACACAAUACUAACUGUCACAAUCACGUAGGCCAAAGCCCAGUCUGUAGUUUAUAGCUACUAAGUAGCAGGAGCUACUUUAAUCCCUAAAAUUCAAGCAGACACCUCAAGGAUACAUGGUGCUAAUAACAAAGGAGAAGGAGGAAGAAGGAACAGGGUUAAUUUGAUGAAAACCAGUCUACUGUAAAAAUCCAAUCUAAGUCUCACACCAUGUUUUGGGCAACUUAGUGAGAAAUACUGUAAUAAACCGUUCCUAAGAGCUCGAGUUGGAGGGGUCUGGCUGCCCUAUGUGCCAUCACUCGAAAAACCAGGAAGAAAUUUAGGAAUUCGUAGGUCCUCUGGUUUGUUUUGGUCAGUAUCUGUGGUGUUCUGUGCAGUCCUCAAAGCCUGUUCAUUUGGUUGAGGAUGUCAAGCAGUACUUUGUCUCCAAAUCCACCUCCAUUUAUCAGAGCCUGAACCCUGGAGGGAAGCUUGGGAAGACAUUAUUAGCAGUCAAGACAAUGUUUAUAGCUAUUAAGAUCCUAUUAGAAGGCAAUUUCCAGAGUGAUGCUGUGAGGAGCUGUACAGUACCCUGUCAACAAAACAUCCAUAUUGUGAAAACAAUCGUUCAGAGUCUCUGGAAAGUUCCCUAAGGGUGCAUGGCAAAUAAUCAUUUAUUUAAGAAAAUCUACUAGAGUUCAGCAAGAGAGAGAGUUUAUGGCAUCCAAACCACAAGCUUCUCCCUCACUUCCUAUUCCCCUGUCCAACCUAGGUUAUUGGGAUAGGAGCUCUAACCUGCCCAGGGGGUCAGACCUUGUCAAUCAAAGUCUCAACACAUCCUUGCUGUGGAUACUAAAUCCCACCCUGUUCUCCAAAAAGUGCAGCCAAGAGGUGGAGGGCUUCAUCCCUGACUAAGCCUCCGCUUAGGACACUCUCACGUCCAGAAGGUCAUAAGGGCACCUGGAUAAGACAUCGUGAGUGAACCUCUAUGGCUUCUCCAGUAUUGAAAGCCACAUCAGUUGCACACGUUUCUAAGAGGGUCCGCUGGUGCACGUGUUUAUGAAGAUGUCUCACAAUAUAAAGAGAUUUCAGUUCUUUGUGCCACCCACAUCCUUGAGUAUGUCUCCUGAGACACACGUGGGAGUCUGUCUGGGGUAUAAAUGAGGAUGGACGUUGCCCGAAAUGCAUAUGGGCUUUUGACUUCACCCGGUUGCUUUCGGGACUAUUGUGCACAGUAAGUAGCUUAAUCAUUUCCUUUUCUCUCAUCCCUGAUUUAUGAGAAUGUCUCUGGGAACCACACCACCAAGUCUGUAAAGUUAGCAUCAGGCUGGGGAGAUUGCUCAGUGGGCAGGAGCUUCUCAGUAAGGCUAACAACCUGAGUUCGAUGUCCCAGACCCACGUAGUGAGAAGAGAGGACUUCCUCACGUAGUCCUCUGACCUCCACACUUGUGCCAAGCCCACUCCACUAAAUAAAUGCAUGUAAAAUAUUUUAAAUCACUAGGAAAUAAACACCCACCUGGGGCUUUCAUAGAUCCCACUAGGGUAGCUUAAGAGGAAGGUUGGAAACAGGCUUCAGAUGGUUGAGGAGCUGAGAUCCUCUCUGCCCCACAUAUGUGUUUGUACAACCACCUAAGACAUUGACACAUGAGUGUUAGUCAACUGUAUGUCACUGUGACUAUAUGCCUGACAGCAUCAGCUAAGGGAGGAGAGAUUCACGCUGGUUUGUAGUUUCGGGCAAUAUAGCCUGUUCCCCAGGGGAGACCAAGGCAUUGGUGUCGGUUGCGCUUUGGCAGAUUAUUCACCUUCUGGUUGGCCAGGAAGCAGAGAGCUUAAUAGGAAAUGGGACUAGGUUUUAACCUUCAAAACUCCACCCUCAGUGACUCACCUCUGCCAGUUACAUCUCCUGCCAUACAGUUUGACAAUCUUCCAAAGCAGCGCUACCAGCUGGCACCAAAUGUUAGCACAUGAACCAUGAGAGAGAGUUCACACUGAACUGCCUACAGAAACGUCUGUCUUUGAUUAGACAAAUCUAUGUUGGCUGUGCUUGGAUUGGUUAAGAAAAGGUUUGCUCAGCAAACCUUGCAGAUACAUAUUUUUGUUUGUUUGUUUGCUUGUUUGUUGAGACAAGGUGGUAUAGAAAUUGCAAUCCUCCUGCCUCAGCUGCUCAAGAGCUAGAAUUACGGAUGUGCACCACCACGUCCAGCAUUGCAGAUGCAUUUGAUAAGACAGCAGGAUGUGAUUUACCAGUCUCCAGGUGGUACUUAAGGCCCUCCCUUCGCCAGUUAUGCUGACAGGAGGUGGUUGGUCCCUUUCUGGAAGCUCUAGAUACGCAUCAAUGCUUAGGACAGGGUGCAUGUCAGAGCCGCCCGGCAGCCUGUUGGGCGGUGUCACUGUGUGGCUUUUGCAAAGCCCGGAGGAAUCUGAGAAGCAAGUGAGAGGAACGAUGCAUGAAAACAAAAGGCAGUGGAAAGAGUGACCAGCCAGCAGGCUCCGGCAGGCUAGAACGCUCUGUCCUUGUUACUGCUGCUUCAUGAAAAUGCCGCGGGCCUUCUGGCAGGGUCUACACGGUAGAGGCUUCCUAGGAAAACAAAGAUGAGGGAUGCGGACCUGGAGGUUGGGGUUCUAGUUUCCCACUUCCCUGUAGAUGCUCCACAGUGAGGUCAGAGAGCCCUGUGCCCCUCAGUAGGUGUCUGCUGACCUUUCCUCUGUCCUGGCUGCUUUCCCAAGAGGUUUUCCCCUCCCACUCACAAGCAGCAAACUCUCAGAGGCCUAGCAGGGCUGGUCUAGGAGAGAGGCUGGGUGGUGCCUGCUCUCUCUGAAGGUCAGCAGAAGGGAGGCAGCAGGGCCCUCAAUCUUGGUCAAAGCAUGUUUGCCACAAAACAGUGACUCUGGUUGGGAUGUCUUCAUUCCCUCCUGCUUUCUUCUGAGUUGGGAAGAACCAGCUGCUGCCGUACUAAGGCAGCCUCUCUUCAAUUUCCAAGAAACCAGGAAAGGGAAGAGCUUGAGUUUUUACUCCAUAGGAGAAUUCUGGAUUCACCUCUUCAGAGUCUCCUUUCUUUGACCUAUAAAAAUACCUGAUUGCAAAGAAGGGACCUAGCCCACAUUCUCUUUUUGUCUUAAACAGUGUCUGUGAGGACAACAAGUAAAAAUAGGCCUUUGCGGAUACAAUAGACCGAACCAAACUGGGUGUGGUUUGCCUGGCAGCUGCACAAGCCCUUGUUUCUUUUGGUCUUGGAAUGCUCCAGACUUGGCCUCUGCCUCAUGAAAUCCUAAAACACUAGCCUGAAAGUGGCUCCUUGGGAGUGAGACUCGGUCUCUAGAGUCAGCCAUUCCCAUCUUUCUGAUCCCCUAGCAUUUCACCCUCAUAGAAGGCAAGCAUUGGAGCUAGGGAGUGGGGGUGUCUCAGUAAGACCACACACACAUACACACACAGACACACACACACAGACACACACAUACACACAGACACACACACACACAAACACAAACACACACACAGACACAGAUACACACAGACACAGACAUACACACACACAGACACACACACACACAGAGAUACACACAGACACAGACAUACACACACACAGACACACUAACACACACACAGACACAUAUACACACACAGACAACACACACACAGACACAUACACACAGACACACACACAGACAAUACACACACACAUACACACACACAGACACACACACACACGGUGGAAAGGGAUUGAGACACCCUCUGCAUACAUAUGUGCACAAAUACACAUACACACGUACACAAGCAUUCAUCAUAUUUCAUUAUAAUUGCUCAUUUGGGAUUGUGCCUUAUUGCACUUCCUUAGCAUCUACAGGCUGUAUUUUAGCAUCAUAGUUCCUUAAUAGGUGUUUAUUAUAUGAGUCAAGGUUUCUUGGCACUUGUAUUUCAGUUUCAAGUUUUUAUUCUGUCUGUUUGCCUGUGUGCUUGCUGAUUUUUUUCAGUGCCAAGGACAGGUAGAAUACCCAGGGACUCAAAACACACUAGACAAGUAGUCUAGCAUUGCACCAUCCCCUCCCCACCACACCAGCCUGCUUCUGUUUCUCAAUUAGCCCUAGCCGCUUCUUCCUUGGGGUGAAACGUGGGCAGUUUGAGCUCAAUGUAGAAUACAGGGUUUGCUACAAUGAAAUGUAAUUUUUUUCCCUAAGGAACUGCUCUCUUAGGAAUGGGUUUCAGAUAUGUCACUUCUGUUACAGGUCCGAGAGUUGUUUUUAGGAAACACUGCCACCAUUACCUCCGAGAGGCACAUCAGUGUCAGUGGUUGUUAUUUUCCAUCUACAGAUGGCCAAAUGGAGGCUCUCUUUUUCAUUUACCAAUUACUCUUCUUAAAGAAAUACGUGAGGAGGAGCGUUAUGGGUUCCCAAGGUAUGAGAGACUGGUUCUUGCUCUGAAGAAGGUUUCAUUCUCAUCCGAAUGGAGAGACAUUUGCACUUGAAGGCAGCUGUGAUUUGGGAGCCCAGGAUGUGAGGUGUGUGAAGGGGUCCAGCAGAACUUCCAAAUGGAAUAAAGAAGGUCAAAGAGUGUCCAGCCAACCGACGUGUGGACAUCAUUGUGCCAUUUGAGCUGAAUAGAUUCUGUGCUAUUUAUUGUCCAUUUAGCCUCUGUUGGUUUCUUGUGACUGCUGUAACAAAUUAGCACAAACUGGUUGACUUAAAACAACAGAAUUUUAUUUUCUUCCAGUUUUUAGAGGCCACAAGUCUGAAAUGAAGGUUUGGGCAGGGUCUGAGUCUCUUGAGGCCUGGAGAGGGGGGUGAUCUGUCUCUUGUUUCUUCCAGUUAGUGAUAGCCUCAGGCUUUCUUUGGCUCCUGGCCACUCCCGUCCAAUCUGUUUCUGUGGUCACAUUGACUCCUCCAAUGUUGUAAAACUCCCCCUGCUACUCCCUGUAGGAAUGUGUGCCACUGAAGUAAGGACCCACCCAGAAUGUGGGCUAAGCCUCCCCUCUCAUGACCCUCAACUGAAAUCACAGCUUUUGCCAUGGAAUGCAGAGAUGAAUCCUGGGGCAGCAGCGAGUGUGAGAGGAGAAGGGAAGCAGAAUAAGACAAGGUGUUCUGCCAGAGGGAGCUUGAGUAUCCACGGAAAGACGGAAUGCCUGCACAAGUGGCUUCGCAGAACAGUAAUGUGCUACAGGAUGAAGCCAUGCCUCAAUAGGAAGGUUCUUGGAUGCUGUAAGAAGGGACCGACGGGACUGGAGAGAUGGCCCAUGGUUAAGAACACUGGCUGUUGUUCCAGGGGAUCCAGGUUGAAUUCCCAGCACCUACAUGGCAGCUCACAACUGUCUGUCACUCCAAUUCCAGAGGAUACGGCCACCCUCACACAGACAUACAUUACGAUGGUCACGUGAGGAUCCAGACACACAAGGAGAACACCAUGUGAAGAUGGAUACUGAAUUGAAGUGCUGCCGUUGUGAGCCUUGGAAUGCCCCUGGCUGAAAAGGAAAUGUCUGAGCUACUGAAGGGAGAUAAAGUUGCAUGCUGGUUAAAUGGCUUCUAGCUGUGAGUGCAAACAUGGAAAUGUACUGAGCCAUUGCAAUGAGGAAGCUGCUUCUCGAACCUAAGAAGGCUGCAGCAGAGCUGCGGGCAAGUUCCUGAAGCAGCUGAGGUCAUUCACCCUUCUCGCUGGCUCAGGCCCGGCCUUCAGCAAGAUUAAGAUUUGGAUUUGGAAAACCUGAGUGACACAUCAAGACAAAAACAAUGUGAUAAGAAAUUUUCUUUCUCCUCUUGUUUUCCCUGUGUCUGGAGUUUCUUCAAGAACAUGAAAUGAGAGAGAAAACCAUAACUUAAAGGUAUUGAGAUAUGAGAACAUUUUGAGAAGGCACUUGGGUGGCGCUCUGUCUGUAACUGAACCUUGCCUGUGCUUGGCUGGCACUCCCUUUACAGCACGCAGAGUCUUGAGGUCCAAAGCCCCUCUUCCUGCAAAAUGGUUAUCCUGGUGGCAUUGCUCUAAAUAGAAGGACUUAGGUAGGGUAAACAGGAGGAUUGUGAGCAAGCCUUAAGGUUUCUGAUCACUAGAAAAGCAGAUCUUUUAAGAGGGUUUACCAGGAACCUCAGCCUUUAACCUUUCCUGCAAAGGUCAGCUACCACAGGCAUGGGCAUCUAGUUCCUGCUCAGUCCUGAUGGCCUGUAUCAGCUCAAGUCCCCACCCCGAUGACUGUCAUAUCUGCUUGGUUUCCCACCAUUUUGCUUUUCUCUCUACCUUGGCAGUUUGAGCCCCAGUGAAUCUUUCUUUCUGCCCAUAGACCAGUCUAGUUCAGUAAUUUCUCUGCCCCGAGUCUCAGGUAUUAAUCUGCGAGGACGGCCUCCAUCUGGGGACUUUUUUCUGUUCUCAGUGAAGUGGCACAUUCAGUUCCUGGUGCAGCGUCCGUUCGUUUCUUUUAGUCAUUUCACAGCUGUUUGCUGGGAGGAGCAAGACUGAACUACUUGGGGCUGAUUUCACAAGGAAGCUGAAAACAAGGCCUUCCCAGUUCCCGUUUGUGAUUUUCAAGUCAAUAAAGCAUGUCUGUCUUGGUGGAUGUUUCUCUCUAACUGGCUUCAGUUGUCUGCUGAGCUGUCUACCUGGCUUCCCCUUGGCUGGGAAACCUCGGUUUGUGGCCAUCCUGUUACAGGUGGAUGGCUGCCCGGCUGCCCACCG